rnacentral:lncRNA from 1 species
AGGGGCGUAUUUAUAAGGGAAGGAGCGCAUCACACUCCGAGGCGUCAUCAUUAGGCCUAGAUGGGCCUAGACCAGCCCAUUUGGGCGCGUGAAGCUCACCACGACUCACGACGCUUCAACUUCUCGAGGAAAACCAAGACCGGUUUGAAUCGAGACCAACAGUCGAAAUCAAAACCGAAAGAAACCGCCGAUCCAAAUCGAAUUGGUCAAAUCACGGAGUGAGAAUAAACGAGUUGCUCACACAGUCGAGGAAUCGAGCGAGAUCAUAAACCUGGAACAAUUGUCUUGCAAACCCUACUUCAGAAUUCGCUGAGUCGGCUACGCUACCCACCAGCGAA